rnacentral:rRNA from 1 species
GCCUAACACAUGCAAGUCGAACGAGAAUCAAUGGAUAGAGGCUUCGGCCAAUUGAAGUUGAGGACAGUGGCGGACGGGUGAGUAACACGUGAGCAACCUGCCUUUCAGAGGGGGACAACAGUUGGAAACGACUGCUAAUACCGCAUAACGUAUAUUGAGGGCAUCCUCGAUAUACCAAAGAUUUUAUCGCUGAAAGAUGGGCUCGCGUCUGAUUAGCUAGUUGGUGGGGUAAUGGCCUACCAAGGCGACGAUCAGUAGCCGGACUGAGAGGUUGAACGGCCACAUUGGGACUGAGAUACGGCCCAGACUCCCACGGGAGGCAGCAGUGGGGAAUAUUGGGCAAUGGGGGCAACCCUGACCCAGCAACGCCGCGUGAAGGAAGAAGGUCUUCGGAUUGUAAACUUCUUUUGUCAGGGACGAUAGUGACGGUACCUGACGAAUAAGCCACGGCUAACUACGUGCCAGCCGCCGCCGUAACAC